CCAUCUAUAUAACACAUGAGGAUUGACAUAAAUUAACAUGAAACAUACAAACAUAUAUAAAUUUGUACAUGUAUAUAUCUAAUUUGUACAUGGUUGAUGUUCAAGUAUCUUAGUGUUCUUCAUUUUGGUCCAGUACGUUAGUUGUUCUUAUAUAGUACACAAAUAUGCAUAGCACAUAUGAACUAUGAUGAUCUAUAUUAGUGUUCUUAUAUUAUGAAACAGCCAAAACUCUAGUAAUUAAGUGGACCAUGGAGCUGAUUAAGUGGACCAUGGAGCUGAUUACUACCCCUAGUAAACUUUAUUUUUUUGCAUCUAAGUUGAUUUUUCUCCGUUUUAAGGUGUGUUAUGGCCUUUAGAAAUACUGUUUUUCAAGUUUAAUACCCCCAGUAGAAGUUUACUACCUCUAGUAAACUUUAGUAAAAAUUUUACUAACCCCAGUAAACUUUAUUUUUUUGCAUCUAAGUUGAUUUUUCUCCGUUUUAAGGUGUGUUAUGGCCUUUAGAAAUACUGUUUUUCAAGUUUAAUACCCCCAGUAGAAGUUUACUACCUCUAGUAAACUUUAGUAAAAUUUUUACUAACCCCAGUAAACUUUAUUUUUUUGCAUCUAAGUUGAUUUUUCUCCGUUUUAAGGUGUGUUAUGGCCUUUAGAAAUACUGUUUUUCAAGUUUAAUACCCCCAGUAGAAGUUUACUACCUCUAGUAAACUUUAGUAAAACUUUUACUAACCCCAGUAAACUUUAUUUUUUUGCAUCUAAGUUGAUUUUUCUCCGUUUUAAGGUGUGUUAUGGCCUUUAGAAAUACUGUUUUUCAAGUUUAAUACCCCCAGUAGAAGUUUACUACCUCUAGUAAACUUUAGUAAAAUUUUUACUAACCCCAGUAAACUUUAUUUUUUUGCAUCUAAGUUGAUUUUUCUCCGUUUUAAGGUGUGUUAUGGCAUUUAGAAAUACUGUUUUUCAAGUUUAAUACCCCCAGUAAAAG